GAUGAAGAACGCAGCGAAAUGCGAUAAGUAAUGUGAAUUGCAGAAUUCCGUGAAUCAUCGAAUCUUUGAACGCACAUUGCGCCCCCUGGUAUUCCGGGGGGCAUGCCUGUCCGAGCGUCAUUGCAACCUUCAAGCGCGGCUUGUGUGUUGGGUCUCGUCCCCCGUGGACGGGCCCGAAAGGCAGUGGCGGCGUCCCGACAUGGUGCCCGAGCGUAUGGGAAUCCUCUUCCGCUCGAAUCGGCCCAUGCGGCGCUGGUCGUAACCAAAUUUUUUACCGGUUGACCUCGGAUCAGGUAGGGAUACCCGCUGAACUUAAGCAUAUCAAUAAGCGGAGA
rnacentral:misc_RNA from 1 species